GGCCGCCCCGGUGCGCCCGGUGCCCGGGUAAGGCAGCUCAGCUGAGGCGCUGCGGGCGUCCCCGAGCGGAGAACGGGAGCAGGUACCGCUACCGAGAGAGCUCUGUGCUCUGCAGGGACACCGCGAUAACUGGUGGUAUAACUAUCAAGCUUUUUCUGUAUGACCCCAUGCACUGACCUGGAGAAGUCAAGUAUGGAAAUAGAGCCUGCUUCAGAAACCAGCCUGAGGAUGUGUGUUACUCAUCUGGCAGCAAUCACAGAGCUCAAAUCUCCAUUCUGAUUUUUAUGGAAGAUGAUAUUCUGAUGUGUGGCUGAUUGUGUCUCCAGGCUGCAUAUUAAGGAGAGACAGGUUAGAAAUUAGUGAUUUU